UACGGAGGAUCCAAGCGUUAUCCGGAAUCAUUGGGCUUAAAGGGUCCGUAGGCGGUUUUAUAAGUCAGUUGUGAAAUCCGGUAGCUCAACUAUCGAACGGCCAUUGAUACUGUAGAACUUGAAUUAUUGUGAAGUAACUAGAAUAUGUAGUGUAGCGGUGAAAUGCUUAGAUAUUACAUGGAAUACCAAUUGCGAAGGCAGGUUACUAACAAGAUAUUGACGCUGAUGGACGAAAGCGUGGGGAGCGAACAGG
rnacentral:rRNA from 1 species